AUAUGAUGAUAUACAAGCCAAGCCUGUUGCGCGACUUGUAAUUGACCUUUAGGGAAAAAAACUUGCUUGACUUGGUUAUACCCUCUCUCUCACAGUACACAGAGAGGAAAGUGAGCAGGGUAAACUGCAAGAUUGAGUGCUAAAAAGCCUCCAUAUUUGCAGUUUACUAUCCAUGCUCACAGGCUACGCUUCUUAUUAUGAGGUUACGCUGCUUCGUUGCAAUGUAAACUCCAUACUUGGAGGUUAUUUAGCAGGCUAAACUGCCAAGUUACAUAUUAACCUCCAUCAAAGAAUGGCUUUUAGUCAAAACUCUGAAGAUGUAAAAUUAUCAUCACGAAAUUCAAAGGCAUGUUUUGAACUUGGUCUUUUUUGAACGUUUUGAUUCAAUGAUGCUACUUUUCGGGACAGAGAUGAACACAACAUUCUGGAUGAAUGACAUUAACAAGUGCACGAUCGCCGAAUGAUCAAUCAGUAAAAGUCAAUCUGGCCAUCUCAACUUUUCGUCAUCAUCAUCAUUUACGAGAAUAUGGAUAACCGAGUAAAGACCCUUGAAAUAAAUGCAUCCAUUGGAUUAUCCAAAUUCUCUGGCUUUAUUUUAUAAUUUAUCUCAAAAAUUCGACCGUUUCAUCAAUUUGUGGCUUUUAAUUUGAAUUUGAAUUUGUAUUUUUUAUUUUAUC